ACACACACACAGAGACACAGAGAGACACAGUCUACGGAGUAGUGCAAGACAUCAUACCUGUGCAGAGGCAGCCAAGGCACCAGGUCAAACACAAAAAUCUGAGUUGGUGAAGAACACAUCAGUGACAGGAAGAAGUCUGAUUAACAACAAUGGCAGAUCCAAGGGUGGUAAAUGUGAUACAACAUUUUCCGAUAAAAACAGAUGAGGACUUGAAAAAGGUGGAGGUCUUACUCCAAGACGAAGCAGUAAGAAGAGCCCUGGCUGAGCACCUUGCUUCCCCUAACGUUUGCAACCCCAAAGGCACCUGUAAGACUAAUGAGAAAAAGCUGCAAAAAAUGAUGCGCGUCG